rnacentral:lncRNA from 1 species
AAUGAAGAAGGUGAGCAAGAGGAUGGACCCGGAUGCACACGGACCCGGGAGAGGCGAAGCUGAGGACGACUGUGCGGGGGAGGGAGAAUGGAGGGGGUGGGGACAGCGCGACCACCUGGGAAUGGGAAAUGGCCCUCAGGGUGGCAGGGGCGGCGCGUACCUCUGGCAGCAUAGCCCCUCCCGCACGAGCGGGCCCCAAAAGGGCGGUCCCCGGGAGCCCACCAGGCUGCACUCAGGGGAUGGUGCGCCUGACCCGCCUGCUGCGCACAGCUCAACCCAAGACCGCAGGCGCCGCGGAUUCCGCGUGGGGGUGGGUGAGAAGGGUACUCUGCACCCGGCCCCCUCUUCUAACUAUAAAUUGAGCUUCCGGUUCCUAGAAUCCACCACGCCUCCCACCUGCCCCACUGCUUCUUCUCCUCUCCCUUAGGAACUCUAGCUUCACCUCGCUUCGUAAUGGACCCCAAUUGCUCCUGCUCCACUAGUAAGGGAUACCGGGUUUCGGGGCUUUAGAAUAUCCAUUUCCAUUCCAGAGGAUAGAAUGUACCCGGGGCAGGAGGGAGGUGCAUGUUAGCUCUUCCUAAAGUGGCCUCCUUUACUUUGCACUUCUCGUGUUUUUCCCUGUCAAGCGCCUUCAUUACCACUUGGAAUGUUGCCAUCUUCCCAGCGCCCCCCCACUUUUUUUUUGUUUUUUUGUUUGUUUUUUGUUUUGUUUUGUUUUGUUUUGAGACGGAGUCUUGCCCUGUCGCCCAGGCUGGAGUGCAGUGGCCCGAUCUUGGCUCACUGAAAGCUCCGCCUCCCGGGUUCACGCCAUUCUCCUGUCUCAGCCUGAAGAGUAGCUGGGACUACAGGCGCCCGUCACCACGCCCGGCUAAUUUUUUGUAUUUUUGGUAGAGACAGGGUUUCACCGUGUUAGCCAGGAUGGUCUCGAUCUCCUGACCUCGUGAUCCGCCCUCCUCGGCCUCCCAAAGUGGCCCUCCCAUUUUUGAAGCGAGAAGACUGAGGCUCAAAACUGCCAGGUCACCCAGAUAGCCAGUGGGUUCCCGGGCUGGGACCCAGUGCUCUGUCCAGCAUUAGAGCUGCCUGAGGUGGAUGGGAGGCAGGGAGCAUUGCCUCUUAGGGAUUCCUGAUAUAAGGCCUUGGGGAGUAAAAUUAGGAGGGCGCCUGCCCAUCCCAGCCUGUGGGGAAAAAAGGUGGAGCUGGGCUUCCGUGUGCCUGAGUGGAACAAGGUACCAGGUUUCCCAUGCACUGAGCAGGAGGAUGCUGAGGGCCUGCUCCUAACCCUGCAGCACACUCACUGCUCACUGCCUUUUUCUCUUCACCUGCACCUGCACCAGCUCCUGCAAAUGCAGAGAGUGCAAAUGCACCUCCUGCAAGACGAGUGAGUGAGGGGCCUUCCCUGGGAAUCGCAGGGAGCGGGGGUGCUGGGCUGAGUCAGAGGAGGGAUCUCAGAUUCUGCAGGCAGGAGCAGGCUCAUCACUAGCUUCCCACAUCCCCUGAAACGGAUUCAGGAUCAGAGCUGGAAGAACAUUAGGGAUGGUUGAUUCCUACCCAACCUUCAUUCUUAACAAUGGGGAAACUGAGGUCACAAGAAUGUACCAGCUGGCCAACCACAGACCUGAUUCUUGAGGGCUUUUCUCACUGAAAUGUAUGGUCCUGGGGAAUUGCCCUUCCUUUGUCCCCACAGUCCCAGUCACUGCCUGUCCAGUCUUCUGCUCUGUCCUGGCUCUGGUGGGGCUGAGCAAGUUUUUCACAGGAAGGCUCUCACUCCAAAGAUCCACCAUUGUCUCACAGAGCACACCAUCCGGACCUAAAGCUCCUCUGGGUCUGGGUGCGAGCUUGAGCCAGGCCCACUGUUGGGGCAGAGAGGUGCCUGUUCAAGUCUGCUGUGACCUGUCACUCUCCCCUUCUUCCCCAGGCUGCUGCUCCUGCUGCCCCGUGGGCUGUGCCAAGUGUGCCCAGGGAUGUGUUUGCAAAGGGACACUGACAAGUGCAGCUGCUGCUCCUG